UCGUUUAGCAAGCGACAUCGAUCGGGUGAGUUCGUUGGUACUUGCUAAGGUGUACUUCAUUAAAGCAGCGUUUCGCCGUGCCCACACCGAGACCCUGCUUUUUUUA
rfam:Lactobacillus coleohominis DSM 14060 Scaffold625, whole genome shotgun sequence.